AUUGAACGCUGGCGGCAUGCCUUACACAUGCAAGUCGAACGGUAACAGGUUAAGCUGACGAGUGGCGAACGGGUGAGUAAUGUAUCGGAACGUGCCCAGUCGUGGGGGAUAACUGCUCGAAAGAGCAGCUAAUACCGCAUACGACCUGAGGGUGAAAGCGGGGGAUCGCAAGACCUCGCGCGAUUGGAGCGGCCGAUAUCAGAUUAGGUAGUUGGUGAGGUAAAGGCUCACCAAGCCGACGAUCUGUAGCUGGUCUGAGAGGACGACCAGCCACACUGGGACUGAGACACGGCCCAGACUCCUACGGGAGGCAGCAGUGGGGAAUUUUGGACAAUGGGCGCAAGCCUGAUACAGCCAUGCCGCGUGCGGGAAGAAGGCCUUCGGGUUGUAAACCGCUUUUGUCAGGGAAGAAAAGGUUCUGGCUAAUACCUGGGACUCAUGACGGUACCUGAAGAAUAAGCACCGGCUAACUACGUG
rnacentral:rRNA from 1 species